rfam:Ipomoea nil DNA, scaffold: scaffold2701, cultivar: Tokyo-kokei standard.
AUCCCAAAUAAAUGUACCAGUACUUAUUUGAUUUAUUGGAGGCACAUAUUGAUGAUGGGAGUUCACAGAUAGCACCUUUUUGUUUUCUCAAAAGGUGUUUCAGUAGCAUCUCACCAUACAAUU